rnacentral:rRNA from 1 species
UCAUGGCUCAGAACGAACGCGGGCGGCGUGCCUAACACAUGCAAGUCGAGCGCGAAUGGGAGCAAUCCCUAGUAGAGCGGCGCACGGGUGCGUAACACGUGGGUAAUCUGCCUGGAAGACCGGGACAACCUUCCGAAAGGAUGGCUAAUACCGGAUAAGCCUACGGGGUCCUCGGACCUCGAAGGAAAAGGUGGCCUCUGUACACAAGCUAUCACUUCCAGAUGAGCCCGCGGCCCAUCAGCUAGUUGGCGGGGUAAUGGCCCACCAAGGCAACGACGGGUAGCUGGUCUGAGAGGACGAUCAGCCACACUGGAACUGAGACACGGUCCAGACUCCUACGGGAGGCAGCAGUGGGGAAUUUUGCACAAUGGGCGCAAGCCUGAUGCAGCAACGCCGCGUGUGUGAUGAAGGUCUUCGGAUUGUAAAGCACUUUCGACCGGGACGAACCACUUCUGGCUAAUAUCCAGGAGGCUGACGGUACCGGGAGAAGAAGCACCGGCUAACUCUGUGCCAGCAGCCGCGGUAAUACAGAGGGUGCAAGCGUUGUUCGGAAUUAUUGGGCGUAAAGCGCGUGUAGGCGGUCUUGCAAGUCGGGUGUGAAAUCCCUCGGCUCAACUGAGGAAGUGCGCCCGAAACUGCAGGACUUGAGUACCGGAGAGGGUGGCGGAAUUCCCCAAGUAGAGGUGAAAUUCGUAGAUAUGGGGAGGAACACCGGUGGCGAAGGCGGCCACCUGGACGGAUACUGACGCUGAGACGCGAAAGCGUGGGGAGCAAACAGGAUUAGAUACCCUGGUAGUCCACGCCGUAAACGAUGAGAACUAGGUGUCGUGGGUGUUGACCCCCGCGGUGCCGUAGCUAACGCAUUAAGUUCUCCGCCUGGGAAGUACGGCCCGCAGGCUAAAACUCAAAG